rnacentral:tRNA from 1 species
AUUUUUAUAGUGUAAGUUUAACACAUUACAUUUUCAUUGUAAAACUGAAAUAUUUAUUUCUAAAAUUA